UGAUGGAGGGGGAUAACUACUGGAAACGGUAGCUAAUACCGCAUAACGUCGCAAGACCAAAGAGGGGGACCAUUCGGGCCUCUUGCCAUCAGAUGUGCCCAGAUGGGAUUAUCUAUGUAGGUGGGGUAACGGCUCACAUAGGCGACGAUCCCUAUCCUGGUCUGAGAGGAUGACCAGCCACACUGGAACUGAGACACGCUCCAGAUUCUAACGGGAGCCAGGCAGUGGGGAAUAUUGCACAAUGGGCGCAAGCCUGAUGCAGCCCAUGCCUGUGUGUAUGAAGAAGGCUUUCGGGUUGUAAACUACUUUCAGCGGGGAGGAAGGGAGUAAAGUUAAUAGCAUUUGCUCAUUGACGUUACCCGCAGAAGAAGCACCGGCUAACUCCGUGCCAGCAGCCGCGGUAAUACGGAGGGUGCAAGCGUUAAUCGGAAUUACUGGGCGUAAAGCGCACGCAGGCGGUUUGUUAAGUCAGAUGUGAAAUCCCCGGGCUCAACUUGGGAACUGCAUCUGAUACUGGCAAGCUUGAGUAUGGUAGAGGGGGGUAGAAUUCCAGGUGUAGCGGUGAAAUGCGUAGAGAUCUGGAGGAAUACCGGUGGCGAAGGCGGCCCCCUGGACGAAGACUGACGCUCAGGUGCGAAAGCGUGGGGAGCAAACAGG
rnacentral:rRNA from 1 species